UUUGAUAGCCCCCUACUCUCGCUAUCCGCCCGGGUACUACGAGCACUAGCUUAAAACCCAAAGGACUUGGCGGUGCUUUAGAUCCACCUAGAGGAGCCUGUUCUAGAACCGAUAACCCCCGUUAAACCUCACCCUCCCUUGUUCUUUCCGCCUAUAUACCGCCGUCGUCAGCUUACCCUGUGAAGGAACCACAGUAAGCAAAACUAGUACAACUCAAAACGCCAGGUCGAGGUGUAGCAUAUGAGAGGGGAAGAAAUGGGCUACAUUCCCUGCCGCAGGGAAUACGAACAAUGUAAUGAAACGUACAUUAAAAGGAGGAUUUAGCAGUAAGCAGAAAAUAGAGCG
rnacentral:rRNA from 1 species